rnacentral:rRNA from 1 species
UACGUAGGGGGCGAGCGUUAUCCGGAAUUACUGGGCGUAAAGCGCACGCAGGCGGUUCGCCAAGUUUGGAGUGACAGUUGUCGGCUCAACCGACAAAGGACUUCAAAAACUGGUGAACUUGAGGACGAGAGAGGAACAUGGAACUCCAGGUGUAGUAGUGAAAUGCGUAGAUAUCUGGAAGAACACCAAUGGCGAAGGCAAUGUUCUGGCUCGUUUCUGACGCUGAGGUGCGAAAGCCAGGGGAGCGAACGGG